UCCUCUCGUUUUCUCUCACAAGCACACAAAUGCAUCCUAUCUCCAUUUCUCCCCUUUCUCCAACACACCAGAGAGGAAGAGACCACAAGUCUCGUGACCACGCGCCGCUGCCGGCGACCUGUAUCAGCACCACGGCCGCUAGCCGCUGCAAGCUUCCAGCCACACACCUCGCCUGAGUUUGCUGCAGCCGUACCAAGGGGAUGCGCGGUGGCAGCCGCUGCGAGCUGUCAGCCACGCACCACGCCGGGCUGUACCAAGGGGAUGGGCGGCGGAGCCGCUGCUGCAAGGCACGCACCACACCGGAGUUGCUGGAAACAUCCUCGGCGGGGGUUGCAAUCGGCGGCAAUUUUUGCUACAACUGAGUUUUUGGUUUGCUGGAAUCAGUGACUUCUUUUUGCUAGGAUCUGUAAUCAGGGGUGCCUUUUCCGGAACUAGCUUCAUUUUUUGCUGCCACCGUCUUGAUUUUUGCUACUACUGUCUAUUUUGAUUUUCUGCUACCACCCGUCUUUGUUUUGUUGCUGAAAGAUUUUGUGCUGAAAUCAAUUCUAAAUUUUUUUGCUACCACCGUCCUUUGUUUUUGCAGCCACCGUCUUAGAUUUUUGCUACCACCCAGUCUGUUUUUUGUUGGAUCCAACGUUUUGCUGGAACCAGCCAUGGCAUUUGUCGCGACGGUGGAGAGCGGCUGCGUUGUCGCCGCCGUUUUUGCUGGAAGGGGCGGCACAAAAGGUUUCAACCGGCAAGCAGAAUUGCUGGAAUCAACAUCGAUAGAAGCCGGAACCUGCGAUAUUUUUUGCUACAUCCAAGGGAGUGGUACUGGGUGACAUGGUGGCGCUCGGUUUUUUGCUACAUCGGGGAUUUUGAUAAGCUACAAACGCCGAGCUGUUUUGCUACAACGGCGAUAUGUAGAAUUGGGUUACCCGGGGAAGAAGACGACAGCGGUGCCUGCAACGUGCACCCUGCGGCGAGCUCGACGGCGAGGAUGGAGAGGGACGGCGCACCAGAUGCUGCAACCCCGGGGCAUGGAGCUUCAACCACUGUCGACGGAGGAUACAUGUCAGCCAUGGCCAAGCUUGGCGGGGAUCCAACCAUGACGGAGCUGCGAACGAGGGAGAUGGUCGGGAGGGGCAGCGACACCCGGGGGACCCGCCAAGUUGGGGCGGCGGCGCUCCCUGCUACAGCCACGCGAGAGAUCCGGCUAGCUCGGGGGCGGUGCUCCGGCUGUAGCGCUUGCAGGGGGGUCCGGUGUGCGUCAGAGGAGAAAGGGGAUAAGAUCAGACGGUUCGCAGCGUUUGAAUCCGAGGGCUGUCGUGCGACCGGCCGAACUAUUGGGCCGGCGCGCCGGCGCCUAGUACUCGCCUUCUUGGAAUGUGCCGAUCAGUGACGACAGGCAUUGGAUCACUUGCGGAAGAUGCUCCAGAGUCCAGACUGGCCCUGUUGGCCAAGUACAUCACUAUGGUGACGGAAGAUGUGGCUGGAGGGUGCAUACAAGAUCAGCUGUCUUAUUAGCAUGCGCUGCUCCACAAACCUGCUGGAUUUUUCUCGGCACAAUGCCCUGAUGAUUAUGGUUAGGAUCCUUAACCCGGAGAGGUAAUCUUGUGGCGUGUUAUCUGGCCCCAUCAGGUCCACAGCAUAUGUCACCAGGUUUCUUCC